rnacentral:ncRNA from 1 species
AUUGAAGCACCAUGGGACACCUCAUCCAGUCUGGACACAGACAGGAUUGACAGAUUGAGAGGUCUUUCUCAAUUCCAUGGGUGGUGGUGCCUUGCCAUUCUUGGUGGAGUGAUUUGUCUAGUUAAAUCCAAUAACAAACAAGACUCUGGCAUGUUAUAUAGUUAUGUGACUCCCCAGUGGUCGACGUCCAACUUCUUCAAGGGACAAGUGGCAUUCGGCAACAUGAGAUAGAGCAACAACAGGCCUGUGAUGCCCUUUACUGUGAG